AGAGUUUCGAUCCUGGCUACAGACGAACGCUGGCGGCGUGCCUAAUACAUGCAAGUCGAACGGAGAUAUUCGCUGAUGAAGUACUUCGGUAAUGAAUCUUGGAUAUCUUAGUGGCGGACGGGUGAGUAACGCGUGAGCAACCUGCCUUUCAGAGGGGGAUAACGUUUGGAAACGAACGCUAAUACCGCAUGACAUUAUCUUAUCGCAUGGUAGGAUAAUCAAAGGAGCAAUCCGCUGAAAGAUGGGCUCGCGUCCGAUUAGGUAGUUGGUGGGGUAACGGCCCACCAAGCCGACGAUCGGUAGCCGGACUGAGAGGUUGGACGGCCACAUUGGGACUGAGACACGGCCCAGACUCCUACGGGAGGCAGCAGUAAGGGAUAUUGGUCAGUGGGGGAAACCCUGAACCAGCAACGCCGCGUGAGGGAAGACGGUUUUCGGAUUGUAAACCUCUGUCCUCUGUGAAGAUGAUGACGGUAGCAGAGGAGGAAGCUCCGGCUAACUACGUG
rnacentral:rRNA from 1 species